CCAAAGGAUUUUCUAAAUCCACAUACACUCACAGUCCAGUAGUUU
rfam:Plasmodium fragile strain nilgiri unplaced genomic scaffold supercont1.1, whole genome shotgun sequence.